rnacentral:lncRNA from 1 species
AAACACACCCUCAAACUGUCUCUUUACCCCUUCUCCUCAACCUGAAAAGGUAAAAAAAAUUUCAGUUCUUUCUUUCUUCAAUUUUAUCUCUCUGUUUCUCUCUAUGAUUUGGGCUUCACAAGAAUUCAAAAUUGAAUUCUUGGAAGCCUCACUAGAGAACCGUUGCAGCGCUCCUUAGCUUCGGCUAUGAAAGGAGCCCUGUGGGUUCCUAUUUUUUUUAGGAAUCAGGAAUCAUCAAUUAUCAGGAAAUUCAGACUCUUAUUUUCUCUUUGUUUUCCUUGCUCACUUUUCGAGUAAAAGUUGAGUUUGAGUUCGAAUCUCCGAUGAGAAAGUCUUAGUUCGUUGCUCCAAAAAAGGUCAGUAAUCACAUUCACCUUUUAUUUUAUUUUGAUUUCUAGAAAUAAAAAGUGUAGUCAUUAAAUAGCCUUUUUGCUGUGUUAAAAUUCUGCCUAUUUGGAUGUGUUUGUGCAAUCACUAUUUAUUGUAGUUUCAAUUUGUAAAGAAUGGUUAACAAGAGGUGAUAACAUUUAUGUAUAAGUAUGUCGUUCGCGUUGUUAUGUUUCGAAAUCCGUCGAAACCUGUUCUCCCUAUUUUUGUUUCAAAAUCUAUGUCAAGGGGUUUUUAAAAAAAUGAACUUGAAUAUUUAGGGAGAUGGGAUCACUUUUCUAUGCUUUGAGGAUUUGUGUGUGAAUAAAAAGUCCUUUUACUGGCUUACCCACUUUUGCCUCAGGUUCAACCAAUCUGAAAUUUACAAAACUGAUUUGUGAUUUUUUUUCUUCUCAAUCAAAAUAGUAGCUUAGUUUAUCGUGAGUUUGAAAGAAAAAAAGAUUGCCUGCUUUAAUCAGUUAGUUUUCUUUAAGUUUUUUUUAAAAAUCAAUUUUUGUAUUCAAGUUCAUUUGGAAGUCAUAUUACUGAACGAUUUCGUUAAUCCAAAAUUGGCAAAGUAUCUGAUCUAAGUUUGAGCUAUGUCGAAAAUGUUAAGUUGUAUGUUUAGAUUUAAUUGUGUCGUUCUAUUUCGAAUUUUUAAAAUUGUCUAAGACACAUUUUCUGAUAAUGUAUAACCCUCAUUUUAGCUUGGCGGAUGCGUACAGUUUGGUGGAAUCGAGGGUUUUUACUUAUUUGUUUAAUUGCUUGUUAACAGGUGUGUAUAUAAGUAGAACGAAAGUAUUGUUGGGUUCGAAAUCGAUAGGCCGUUAUGCGGAAGCUAUUAGUUGCAAACUAUGGGAUGAUAAAUAAGAUGACAACGAAAAACAAUACUAAAAACAUAAUUUUAUUAUAUGAUUUGGCCAAUUGGCCUAAAUAUAAAACUUCAUAUUUAAAACAUAAAACUAAUAAGAGAGAAAAUCUCCCCCUAAACAAAAAUCUUAAAAGACUAUAUUGUGGAUGCUAUUGUGUUAUGGUAUGAGAAGGGGUUUCUAUUUAUAGAGUUUCAAAACAUUCCUCCAAGAAAGAGGUUUGCCAAAUAUGAAAAAGUUUUAUAUUUUUCUUUUAGGAAAAAGUAAUUUUGGUACUUAGGGGUGUACAGAUCAAACCGUCAAGUCAAAUCGAACCGAUGAACCAAACCAAACCGAGAAAAAAAAUCGACUUAUGAUUUGGUUUGAUUGGUUUGGCGUUAGAAAAAAAACCCGACCAUUCUUGGUUUGGUUUGGUAUUAACAAAAAAAAAGUCAAACCGAAUAUAUAUAUAUAUAUUUGAACUUUUUUAUACAUAAAAUAUUAAUUAUAAUCUACUUUUUAAAUACUUUUUCAACUAGUUUUAGUAAUUUUCAAUAAUUUGAAAGUAGAUGUAGAUAUAUAUUUAGAUUUGGGCGGCUAAGUUGAAAUAUAAGGGCAGUAAAAAUCAUAUGUAUUUGUAUUUUUGUAGCAUUAGUUUGCAAAAAUACAAAAUACAACUUACUAUAUUAUGUAAUUAUGAAACUGUUGCUAUGAAACUCAUAUUUAAGGAGAUAAGUAUGCUAUUUCUGAAUUUUGUCCAUAAAGUAGCAUACUUAAGUAUUAAAUUACAAAAAAUAGCAACACUUUUAUCAAAUUACAUUUUGUAGCAUAUGUAUUUGUAUUUUUGUAGCAAAAGUUUGCAAAAAUACAAAAUACAUAUCAUCAUAAGGGAAGUAAAAAUUAUAUGUAUUUGUAUUUUUGUAGUAACAGUUUGCAAAAAUAAAAAAUACAACUUGCUAUAUUAUGUAAUUAUGAAACUAUUGCGAUGAAACUCAUAAUUAAGGGAAUAAGUAUGCUAUUUCUAAAUUUUGCCCUAUAUAUAUUGCUAUUUGUGCCUUUAAGUUGUAAUAUUUGUCCAUUAAUUGCUAAUUAAAUGAUCGAAAACCCAAUAUAAACUUAAAACCUAAACUUUUCACUGUUCAUGUCAUUUUUUAGUUUCAAGAGAGUUUUCCGCUCUCCAUUUUUUCUUAAUUAUGGUUUUUCAUUAGCACAUGAGUGAAAACAUAUUUGAUCUAAUUUUUGAUCAUAAUAUAAUUAUAAAAAAAAACGCGAAACAACUAAAAAAAUCGAAAACCCAAAAAAAUCGACUAAAACCUAAAUCGAAAAAAUCAAUUUUAUGUUGAUUUGAUUUGGUUUAUAGUUUUAAUAAACCGACAUGAUUGGUUUAAUUGUUUUUUUUAAUAAAAACCGAACCAAUCCGACCUAUGUACACCCUUAAUGGUACUACUUUUAUUUUCUUUCAAUAGAAAAUUAAAACUCAAUUUGAUAAGAAAAUCAAGGUUAAAAAAUCCUAAUAAAUCUCCCUUUUUUGGCUCGAUUUUCUUCGGUUGAUUUGCCUUCUUCACAUAGUUGAUCUUUGUUCUUCAUAUAGUCUUCAUCACUGCUGCUUAACAUGUUCAAAAAUGGAGCUUUUGGGGUUAAAAAUAUAUGAGCCCUUUUCGGGUUAAAAAUAUUGGAGCCUUUUGUAGGGUUAAAAGUAAGUUUUAUUUUCAAAUAUGUAACAACAGAAUUGUUGAAAAUAUGAUUGACAAUCGUCUCCACAUGUAGUUUUUGGAUAUAUAUCUUCAUUAUCAUCAAAUUUAUUGCAAUUUUCAUCUUAAACUAUCCUCAAUUGAGCCAUUCGAUCUAUGAACCAUUGGCUCUAUAUUAAUUAUUGGGUUCGAAAUCGAGAGGGCGUCAUGCGGAAGCUCAUAGUUGCAAACUAUGAGACGAUAAAUAAGAUGACAAUGAAAAACAAUACUAAAAACAUAAUUUUAUUAUAUGAUUUGACCAAUUGACCUACAUAUAAAACUUAAUAUUAAAAACAUAAAACUAAUAAGAGAGAAAAUCUCCCUCUAAACGAAAAUCUUAAAAGACUACAUUGUGGAUGCUAUUGUGUAAUGGUAUGAAAAGGGGGUUUCAAUCUAUAGAGUUCCAAAACCUUUCCUCGAAGAAAGAGAUUUGCUAAAUAUGAAAAAGUUUUAUAUUUUUAUUUUAGGAAAAAUAAAAGUAAUUAUGAUACUAUUUUUAUUUUUCUUCAAUAGAAAAUUAAAACUCAAUUUUGGUAAGAAAAUCAAGGCAAAAACCCUAACAACUAUUAACUCAAGUCUUAAAGUUUUGAAGUAAGCUUGUGAAGUUCUCUCGACUAAAAUAGUAGAAUGAGCAGUUGGUGUGACUUAUUAUAGUGAUUAAAAGUUACUAGUUUCCUUUCUAGAUUAGGUUGUCUGCAAUUUGCUGCAGCUAUUUUAACUAUUUACUAUGCACAUCCGUGCAUUUACAAGGCACUGACAGCCUAUAAAUAAAGUAGAUUUGGGUUGCUCAUCAUGAUAUUCUUGUAAGGUAAACAAGCUGGAGGUUUUAACUCCUGAAAGAUUGUAUUUAGUUGCUUAAAGGUUUGCACAGGAUGAUCACUUAUUGAUUUAAUUGAGUUAGUCAAAUGAUUUGAUGUUUGCUUGCGAUAAGGGAUUGAAUUACUUAAAAGUGUCAAAUGGACUGAUUUUUAGGUGUCAAUACAUGUUCUCCUCCAUUAUUCUCUAGAGGAUAUGAUCUUAACUCGAUGGUAUAGAUAUCUCACUUUUCUUUUCUGAAAACAUCUUAUCAUGCAUGGUUUAGAGCAAUUGUGGCAAGUAUUUUAGUUCAAAUAAACCUUUAUAAAAUUGAGGUCUAAAUGUGAAUUGAUUGCCUUUUAUAGGAUAGUUGUAAUAAUGUCAUUUUCAUUAUUUAGCCUUUUUUCAUAUUUGUUGUGUAUUUACGAGAUGCCGACCGCUUUAAUUUUUCAUAAAAGAAAGAAUUUCUAAAUAAUAUGUCCAUCCAUGUGGUCAAUUUACUUGAAAUAAUUUUUCAUAAAGUUUAAUGUUUUAAGCACAAUAGGUUUCUAUCAACUUCAGUUUCUAAAGCAUGACUAACCAUCUAUUUGGGACUGUUUUAGCAUCAGAUUUGGACGUUUUCUUCUGAAUGCUGCCGCAGUCAUAGUUACUUAUCUAUUUGGUUACACUCCCAAGAUAUUUUUAGCCUCCGACUUAGCGCGCAAAGCAUUUCUAAGAUUUUAAACUUUGAGGAAGUAUCAGUCAUUUCUCUUGAAAUCAUUACAUAUUUAUUUUGGGUGCAUUCAUAUAACAUUUAUUAGUUAAAUGGGGCUGAUUUAAUGAUCCUCAAUAAGUUUUUUCACUACUAUAUUUUUUUUUGCUUCGCAAAGUCAUAUUUGUGUACCGUAGCUUGUAAAUUAUGUUAUCACCUUAAGAUUAACUAACUAGUAGCCGGCUUCUAAGUUUUGUCUUGAAUAUUUUAGCUCAGAUGUUAAUUCUGUUUGUUGAGUAGAAGUCUACACAUGAACCUAGCUUUUCCUUUUCUCUUUAGACUAGAAACUUGAUUCCUAGUAAUUUAGAAUACAUGGACUAUUUAGCUUGAAAAGGAUCUUCGAAGGCCAUAGGAGAAAUUUACAUAGCUUAAAACAAAUGUGUUUCUUUUGCUAGUUUUUUGGUGCAACAUGGUUAUAGUACGUAAUAUUAAUGCAAUUUUAGAAGCAAACAGGAAUCUGCACAAUGAAGUUAUGUUCUUACACAUUGGCUUAGUGCAAGUACUUUUAAAAUCUUUGCUUACCAAAAAAAAAAAAAAAAGAUUAGAGUAAAAAUAGAGUUCUAUCCUCUCAUGUCUAGAGAGAGUUGAGAUUUCAUCACUAGGCCUUAUGCAAUGUUGCAUUCCGAAGGAUUAUUGAUUCCAGAAUUGAAGUGCAAAUCUCUAACGUUGGAGUUGCCUAUGAAAAAAAUGCAAUUUUCAUAGCUAGCCUAGAAAGUAAUUUUCAGGAAUCUGCAUGUGUUGUAUUUUGAAACCUCAUCUGAAGUGUGAAUAGUAUAUUGUGCGUAUUGGUUAUGAUUUAGCACGUCUUAUGAUCGUUAAGUAAUAAAACCUUUUGUCUGUGCCGUUGUUGAAUGUUUUAUGUAAAUUUUAUGAGUUGAUUUCCUGAUUUUCAUAGCUGCCCGGAUAUAAACUCAUUCUUAUGUGUUAGUCAAAUCUGUAAUACUCUAUAAAUUUUACACUCACAUUAUUAUGUCUUUAAGGGGCCGUUUGGUUCGCGGGACUAGAGUCAAUAAUCCCGGGAUAAAAUAAUAUUCCUGGGAUAAAAAUGUAACUCACUCGUUUGGUUGUAAAUAUUUGGGAUAAUUUAUCCCGGGACUAAUGAUUAGUCCCGGGAUAAGUUAUUCACUCAAAUGGUGGGAUAACAAUCCCAAGACUAUUUUUCUUUGGUAUAAAAUUAUACAAGGACAAAAAUACUCUUAUUUUCAUUUCUCUCUCUCUCUCUCACACACACACACACACAUAUAUAUAUAUAUAUAAUAAUUAACGUAAACUGGUAAACUGUAUAAUAAUUAUGUUUUGAACGUAUAAUAUAUAUUAUGGACAGUAUAAUAUAUUAUGAACAUAAAUAUAUAUUAUGAAUAACGUAUUAACAUAAUAUAUAACGUAAUGUAUUCUCACACACACAAAUUAUGUUUAAUUAACGUAUAAUAUAUUCAUAAAUAAAUAAAUUUUGUACAGUUUACCGUUUAAAGUGCUUAUAAAAUAUAUAAAUUAUGUUUAUUUAUAUAUUCUAAUUUCUCUAAAAAAUAAUAAAAACUUUUAAGAAUGAAUAUUUAAAGCUUAAAAAGAAAUAUAUAUAUAAAAAAAGUUAAAUAAGAUUGAGGGUAUUUUGGUAAUCAAUCAAUUUAUUCCUAGAAAUUAUACCAUGCAUAUUACUUUGAAUACAACAAACCAAACACUCAAUAAAAAAUAAUCCCAGCAUAACUAAUUCCAGUAUAACUUAUCUCAUUAUAACUUAUCCCAACAUAACUAAUUUCGGUAUGACUUGUUUUCAAACCAAAUGACCCCUAAAAGAUUCCUAAUCCUUUUAUUUUCUUAUUUCACAUGUGCUCGGGAGCGCAUUUGGAGUCUCUUGGCUGGAUUACAUCUCUGUCCAAAUUAGAGAAGCGAAUAAUAGAUGGCACUACGUGUUUUAAUCUGGCAGUCUAGUGCCUCUUUCUGUCAUUUAACAUUUCACACAUUAUUAUUUGAAAUUUUAUGUUUUAUAUGUUCUUAUUUGAAUUAGUGUGAAUUCUUAAAUUUGUUAGCGAAGUUAAUUGUUUUCUUUUAGAUUUUUAAUUUAACAUAAUUGUCAGAUUAGGUGCUUAAUUCAUAUCAUUAAAGAUUAAAAAUUAAUAGGUAGAAACAUACCUUUUAGAAUAAAUGACCAUGUUUGUUAGAAUCCUUUAAUGCUUCUUUAGUGUGAAAUAGUAGCCUAUUUUUAGAAUCGAGUUUGUUUGUCAUUAAUUAGUAAUAUCGAAUUAACAAAAAAUAUUAAUUUUUGCGGUAGACUAAUUUAUCAUCGUUGGACUCAAAAAUGGACUUUAAUAAUUUUGGAUAUGGUAAAUCAAUUUUAAUUUUUAUCAAUUUCAAAUAAAAGAUGACAACUUUGCCAGAUCGACUUCGCAAGACUUUUUUUUUUAGGAUUUCAAAUGACAAGAAAAUAUUUUAUUUAUUUAUUUAUUUAUUUAUUUAUUUCUCAAGUUAUUUUAAACAACUAUAUUUUUAUAUAUUCUUUUAGUGUAGGAUAAUUAAUCUAUUUUUACAAAAGUUGAUAAAAAAAAGGAAAAGAGACAUUUUUUUAAAAUAAAGAAAAAAAUGUGAAGUUCUUGACAUAACUAUCGUUUUAAUUAUUAAUUGAAAGCUUUGUUUAUCUUUUAAAAAUGAUAUUAAAUAACCCUCUUUUUUGACAAAAAAUAAGGCUGCAUUAUUUUUAAGAGGUCGUAUAAAAAUUAUCUUCGGUAGUUAUUGAAAAAUACAUUUUAUAACGAGGUUCUUCUAAAGUUUUCUAUUCUUCUUCUUAUAAAUAAUUAGCAUGUUUUAUUUUAAAAAUAUCUAUAUAUUUUUAAAAUCUUAUUUAUAUCUUUCUUAACAUAGCUUUGAUUUUCUUUUAUCUAAUCUAAGUUUGGCCAGUUAACCAUAGCUGGCGGAUCUUUUAGGGUACCUAAUCCCUUCUCUUUAGGAUAUUUAUAAUUCUUACCUAGAAUGGUAAGUUAAGUAAACAUAAAAGUAAAGUCUUUAUUUCCUUUAAAUAAAGAAAACACUGUAAAACUAACAGGUGACGACUUUCUUAAUUUUAAUUUGGAGUUUUCAAUAUGUUGUUCCUUGGUUUGACCCACGUUAAGAUAGGGUAUAACAAUUUGACGACUUCACUGGAAAUUUAUUUGGCUCUUGACCAUAACAAACUUAGAUUAAUAAUUAAGUUUUUAUUUGUUUCACACUAAUUGUCUUGAUUUAUCAUAUAUGUGUGGCAUAAACUGUGUUGUUGCUACAAAUUGCUUAUUUGUUUAUCGCUUUUUUCGUUCAUAUUUCCUUCACUUUGAAAAACUAACUCUCACACACAUUGUACAAGCGGAUUAUACAUUGUACCUUUCCAAAAUUCUUUCAAAUCACCUUACUUUAGAGAGUUGGCGCAUACGUGGGGCGAGCGGGAGUUUUACUACCGUGGGACCACGUGUUUUCUCAUAUUGGAAAUUCAAGUCCGUGUCUAUCCAAAUUUUUAAAAAACUUAAGAUAAAGCAUUAUCACCCUUGAUUUAGGCCAUGCACGCAUAAACUCUAGAUGACUUGAUCCGUGGGACCAUUCCACAAAUAGGAGAACACCUUAUAUGUCAAAUGGAUUUCACGACCCAAUAAUGACUCUCAUGUUAUGUGCAGAGAUAAUGAUAAAUUGAUCCAAGUUAAAAUUUAUCAAAGUGAGUUUGAAAAAUUCUAACUCCAAACUUGAGUACUGUCAUUAAUUAAAGCUUAGAUCAAUUUAUUAGAAUCUCAAUUAAUAGCUGACGCUUCGGCCUACCUCUGACAUAAAGGAGUCACCCAUAUAUUAGGACGUUAUUUGUUUUGUAAAUUAUUUGCUUACAUACUACUUGACCUACAUGAAUUUAGUUGAAAUAUAAUGUGACUUGAUAUUUAUUUGCUAACUUCACCUUUAUUUUGUCCUUAUUUUUGAAGAAGAAAACUAAAUUUUGCAAUUAUAUAUCUCUUUAUUAUCUAUUGCAUUUUUACAUAUUUAUAUCAUCGUAUUUCUUUAAAAUUCUAUUAUCAUAACACUUCUGUGCUUGACGCAUUUUAACAAUUCUAGAGCAUCAUUUAAGAAAUUAUCUUAAACUUUUAGUAUUUCAAUAAGAUUUUCUUCCAUUUUUUUUUUUUUAUGAUCUUCUAUAGAACUCAGAUUCUUUCUUUAAAUUUUUAAUGAGUUUAAUUCAUCAUUAUUUUUAAAAUUUUUCCUAGAGUUUUUUUAAUAUUUGUCUUCGCAAUUUGUUAAAAAUUUUCUUAUACUCUGUUAACCUGGGUAUAAUUCUUCGUAAAUAUUUUUUCUGUCUACUUUUUCUAAAUCAUUCAUUUCAAAUUAUAUCAGACUCAUGCUAAAUUUAAACUAUUAGAUUUUCUCCCUUUUCAAGCUAUUUCAAGUCCUUUCUUUACGGGUGUAAUCUUCUAUUUGUUGCGACGAAACAGUUAGCCUGUUAGUUUCAUACUUCGUAGUAACUAUUUAGUGUCGAUCUACAUCAUGAAACUCUUGCUCACUCUCUUAAUUUUUUUCGACCUCUUAUUGGCCGUCAAGCCAUUUGUUGCUUCUUAAGUUGGUCUAUGUCCAAAUUUAUUUAUACAAACUAUCAAAUCGCUUUUGACUUUAUUUGUUCAAUUUUCUCCGUUAAAUUAUUUUAGAGCGAUGUCCUAAGUUUGAUACUUCUUUAAAGAUUCACCUGUUCAAAAUGCUUGUGUCGUUCCUACCUUGAAAUUAUUGGGAUUGAUCUUUCAGUACUCAUCUUAAAUUGAAGCUUUUGCACGUAAAUAAAAAAAUCCUAUUAAUUGACAUUUUCUUCAUCCUUGAUGUUUUUUAAUCCACCAAUGUUAAAUUAGAAUUUUGAGUCAUUCACAACCCUUUGUCUUAUCAAAAUUUAAUAUUUGCGUGCUCUAUUUCCUUAUUAAAUUUUAUCUCAAGCUUAUAUCCCUUAUUGGAAUCGAUCCAUUGGUUUCCUUAUCGUAUUUCAAAAUACUUCAUGCUUACCUUUUCAUAAUUAUUCAAUGCUUACCGAGUGUUUCAUUUUCCUUCCAAAGGUUGACUUAAGUUGAGCACCAAAAGUAAUUCAAGGAAAAUUUGACUGAUGAAAUUACUGUGAUUGACCUAUGAAAUUAUUGUGAUUGACCUGGUUGAGAAUGAGUUCGACUUCGAAAAACCAGAGUCGCAUCCAGAUAAAGUAGCUAAGCUUGAGAAAAAAGUGUCACAAAUAGAGCAAGAAAUUAACGGCAUUAAAGAAAUGAUAGUCGAUCUUAAGAAUUCAUUCACUAAAAGCUAAGAAGCAUACUCACCCUUUAGCACUACCGCAUUUUCCAUCUUUGAAGGCUCAAAAUCAUAUUCACUCUUUGGCACUGGCGCACUUCUCAUUUUUUAUUAUAAUGCCCAACUUUUCUCUCCAAAAGAGACACUCAACAACUUGAAAGAAACGAGCAAAAUCGAAGCAAAUGGUGGAAGGCAUAUUAAUAUUGACACUAAUCAUAUUUUCUUUACAAAUGAGCUUGCUUUACCUUUUGAGAUGGAUUAUGACGAUAUUUUGAUGUACGACAAGGUAGGUAGUCACAUAGACCACCUGAAGGAUAUGUUGAUUGAGUGAGAAAUAUUGGGCAAGACAAUGAGUUGAAGAUGUGACUUUUUGUUAGGACAUUUGCGGGCUCAACUUUAAUAUAGUAUACAAACCCAGGCAUGUGGAAAUGAUCUUCUUGGAGCGAUCUAGUGGAUGAUUUUGUCAAAAAAUAUAGUUCUCCUAGCAAUAUUAAUAGAGGAAUAGGUCUAUUGAAAAGGAAAUCUAUAGAGUUUCCUCAGGGUCCAAAAGAAAAAGAACCAAAUUCACGCUUUUUCACAAUUUUUGCAAGCAUUUAUAAUAAAAUCGGGCAGAAAUCCAACAACGAUUUUCAUGAGCAUGACGAUUAAAGUACAGUGGAGACUUUUUUGAAAUAUGUCAUAUAGAAAGCACGUAGUAGGAUGACCAAUUUUUGGGUAGCAUUUUUUUGGGAACAAUUAUGUACUUUUGUGAACUUAAUGAUUAAUUCUCUAUAUGUUUUUAAAUUUUAUUUUAUGUAAGCCGAACUAACAGUUGACCUGAUUAUGAUUAAUUCUCUAUAUGUUUUUAAAUUUUAUUUUAUGUAAGCCAAACUAACAGUUGGCCUGAUUUCCUUGGUGGAUACGUAGGCAGCCUACAUAGGGACUCAGUCAUACCAACCAAGACUUUAGCAAAUGGCACACAUGAAAAGAUCUGGCUCGCGACUUUGUAGGGCAGUAUGAGCUUAAUAUUGGAGGCGAUCCAUGCAUGACUGAUUUACUUAAUGUAAAGAAGUGACACAUGAGUAUUUUCAAGCAUAUACCACAUGAUGGAGGUUAGAAGCUUCAAAGAUACACUCUCUUCUUUUGGAAUAAGAAUUGAUCUCAGCCUUCAUCCAAAUUCAAGAAGGCCUAUAUUAUGAUAAGUUGUUUGAAACUUGUGAACGCAACUUCUCUAAUUUGAUUUGGAUUGGCAAAGAGAUAGGAAGUGGCAUUUAAGAAGGAAUAUUUAUAGAGGCAAUACAAGUUGCUCAUCUAGUUUUCCAAUCAGUGACACUAGGAAAUUCGCAAAGUGUAAACAAUUGAGUUUUUGUACAUCAAUCGCAAUGCCAUUAAAGUCAUCAAUUUUCACAAUCUCAUACUUCUUCUGAUUAUUGUAACACGCAUCUCCGGCCUCCUUACCAAUAAAAUUUUGGGAAUAACUCUCAACGAUUGUUUCACUAAGUACAAUCUACCUCUUGACCACAGAGAAAGAUAAAAACUUUCUCCUUCACUCCUCUGGAUGAGCCAUUGAUCAAUAUAUUUGAGAGAUUGAGAACUAGGGGACUUCUUCAACCCAAAAGAAAUUCACGCCUAAGUGUCCAUCUUCAAAUUUUGAUUAAUUCAAAAGUUGUGCUUAUCAUUCAAAUAUUCAAGUACAUGACAUUGAAGAUUGCCCAACACUAAGAUUUAAAUCAUGAUAUAAAGUGGCAAAAUAAAGUUGCAACAAGAGCCUCCAAUUAGCAAUGACAAUGUCAUAAACAAGGAUAUAAUUUUUAUUAAGGGUGAUCUAUCAAAAUUGGCACUAAGACACUUGAAGAGAAGCAUGC